rnacentral:misc_RNA from 1 species
UUUCCGUAGGUGAACCUGCGGAAGGAUCAUUAAAGAGUAAGGGUCUUCGGGCCCGAUCUCCAACCCUUUGUUUAACUACCAUGUUGCUUUGGCGGGCCCGUCUCACGACCGCGGGAAGUUUGGCUUCGACCAAACUUCUGGCCCGUGCCCGUCAGUGGCCCCUUCAAAUUCUUGAUCAAGUAUGAUGUCUUAGUUAAAAACUUAAUAGUUAAAACUUUCAACAACGGAUCUCUUGGUUCUG